UUUCCCAGUUUUACCCAUGUUGAGCAUAGUAACUCCGCCUUAAAUUGGUUGGCCCAGUUUAAUUGCAUUAUGUCUUGCAAGGAGUAUUAGCAUGCAGAUUUUACUGCAUAGUGACUAUUGUUCGAUGGUAAACUAGUGAAAAGGGGAGAAUACAUUUCCAUGGUUUCUGACUUUGUUCUAUCCCACUUAUUUGGUUUCAGCCAUUAGAGAUUGC
rnacentral:lncRNA from 1 species